rnacentral:rRNA from 1 species
ACGAACGCUGGCGGCGUGCUUAACACAUGCAAGUCGCACGGAAAGGCCCUGCUUUUGUGGGGUGCUCGAGUGGCGAACGGGUGAGUAACACGUGAGUAACCUGCCCUUGACUUUGGGAUAACUUCAGGAAACUGGGGCUAAUACCGGAUAGGAGCUCCUGCUGCAUGGUGGGGGUUGGAAAGUUUCGGCGGUUGGGGAUGGACUCGCGGCUUAUCAGCUUGUUGGUGGGGUAGUGGCUUACCAAGGCUUUGACGGGUAGCCGGCCUGAGAGGGUGACCGGCCACAUUGGGACUGAGAUACGGCCCAGACUGCAACGGGAGGCAGCAGUGGGGAAUAUUGCACAAUGGGCGGGAGCCUGAUGCAGCAACGCCGCGUGCGGGAUGACGGCCUUCGGGUUGUAAACCGCUUUCGCCUGUGACGAAGCGUGAGUGACGGUAAUGGGUAAAGAAGCACCGGCUAACUACGUG